UACGGGGGGGGCAAGCGUUGUUCGGAAUUACUGGGCGUAAAGGGCUCGUAGGCGGCCAACUAAGUCAGACGUGAAAUCCCUCGGCUUAACCGGGGAACUGCGUCUGAUACUGGAUGGCUUGAGGUUGGGAGAGGGAUGCGGAAUUCCAGGUGUAGUGGUGAAAUGCGUAGAUAUCGGGAGGAACACCAGUGGCGAAGGCGACUACCUGGCCUGUUCUUGACGCUGAGGCGCGAAAGCUAGGGGAGCAAACGGG
rnacentral:rRNA from 1 species